rnacentral:ribozyme from 1 species
UUUUUUUUUUUCUUUUUUUUUUUUUUUUUU